GUAACAUCUACAGAGGUCGAACUCGGCCAGAAGCCAGAGCAGCCCACUCGCUCCCCACUGUGGCACAGCCGCCCCUUUUGCAGGAAUUCUCUCUCUACUCCCAGUCCUACACCUGCGCAUUCACCAUCCACCAGCUCCCGCUCCGGGGAUUCAGAACCACAUUUCCCAGAAGUCCAAGCGAAGCCAUAGGCCUGUUCUCUCGACGUGACUGGCUGGUAGCCCAGAGACGCCCCGGAACCGGAAGCGUUCUGGUAAAGCCAUACGCUGCCGUACUUGUCGGUUUGCUCCGGUGCGUAGCCUCUGGCCACUUAAUUCGGCGGGAUCUGCCAACAGAGAAGUCUGGUUUUCCAAAAGGGGAAGGGAAUGGUCCCUGUCAUCCAUCUAGCCAAUUUUCAGUUGGUGAUCCAGAUGGAACCCGAGUAAGGGCCUCCAGCCCCCGGGACUGCCUCUCAGAAGAACUCUUCUCAAAAGACUGCCCCGGAGGACGGACUCCCCCUCGGGCCUAACCCAAAUUCUUCCGAGGCAAGUCUGAUCAUCCAAAAGGAGAAUGGUAUAGAGAAUAAACACUUUCUACAGAACCUUGAAAAGCCCUCA
rnacentral:lncRNA from 1 species